ACGCAAGGUGCUGACGAGUGGCGAACGGGUGAGUAAUGCAUCGGAACGUGCCCAGUCGUGGGGGAUAACGCAGCGAAAGCUGUGCUAAUACCGCAUACGAUCUAUGGAUGAAAGCGGGGGACCGUAAGGCCUCGCGCGAUUGGAGCGGCCGAUGUCAGAUUAGGUAGUUGGUGGGGUAAAGGCUCACCAAGCCAACGAUCUGUAGCUGGUCUGAGAGGACGACCAGCCACACUGGGACUGAGACACGGCCCAGACUCCUACGGGAGGCAGCAGUGGGGAAUUUUGGACAAUGGGCGCAAGCCUGAUCCAGCAAUGCCGCGUGCAGGAAGAAGGCCUUCGGGUUGUAAACUGCUUUUGUACGGAACGAAACGGUCUGGGUUAAUACCUCGGGCUAAUGACGGUACCGUAAGAAUAAGCACCGGCUAACUACGUGCCAGCAGCCGCGGUAAUACGUAGGGUGCAAGCGUUAAUCGGAAUUACUGGGCGUAAAGCGUGCGCAGGCGGUUUUGUAAGACAGGCGUGAAAUCCCCGGGCUCAACCUGGGAAUUGCGCUUGUGACUGCAAGGCUGGAGUGCGGCAGAGGGGGAUGGAAUUCCGCGUGUAGCAGUGAAAUGCGUAGAUAUGCGGAGGAACACCGAUGGCGAAGGCAAUCCCCUGGGCCUGCACUGACGCUCAUGCACGAAAGCGUGGGGAGCAAACAGGAUUAGAUA
rnacentral:rRNA from 1 species